CCGAGUUUACAACUCCCAAACCCCUGUGAACAUACCUUUAUCGUUGCCUCGGCGGAUCAGCCCGCGCCCCGUAAAACGGGACGGCCCGCCGCAGGAAACCCUAAACUCUGUUUUUAGUGGAACUUCUGAGUAUAAAAAACAAAUAAAUCA
rnacentral:misc_RNA from 1 species